rnacentral:rRNA from 1 species
AUUGAACGCUGGCGGCAUGCCUUACACAUGCAAGUCGAACGGCAGCAUGAUCUAGCUUGCUAGAUUGAUGGCGAGUGGCGAACGGGUGAGUAAUACAUCGGAACGUGCCCUGUAGUGGGGGAUAACUAGUCGAAAGAUUAGCUAAUACCGCAUACGACCUGAGGGUGAAAGUGGGGGACCGCAAGGCCUCAUGCUAUAGGAGCGGCCGAUGUCUGAUUAGCUAGUUGGUGAGGUAAAGGCUCACCAAGGCGACGAUCAGUAGCUGGUCUGAGAGGACGAGCGGCCACACUGGGACUGAGAAACGGCCCAGACUCCUACGGGAGGCAGCAGUGGGGAAUUUUGGACAAUGGGCGAAAGCCUGAUCCAGCAAUGCCGCGUGUGUGAAGAAGGCCUUCGGGUUGUAAAGCACUUUUGUCCGGAAAGAAAUGCCUCUGGUUAAUACCUGGGGUCGAUGACGGUACCGGAAGAAUAAGGACCGGCUAACUACGUGCCAGCAGCCGCCGUAA